rnacentral:rRNA from 1 species
UACAGAGGUCUCAAGCGUUGUUCGGAAUUAUUGGGCGUAAAGCGCACGUAGGCGGCCUGCUAAGUCGAACGUGAAAUCCCCGGGCUCAACCCGGGAACUGCGUCCGAUACUGGCAGGCUUGAAUCCGGGAGAGGGAUGCGGAAUUCCAGGUGUAGCGGUGAAAUGCGUAGAUAUCUGGAAGAACACCAAUGGCGAAAGCAGCUUUCUGGGACGGUACUGACGCUGAGACGCGAAAGCGUGGGGAGCGAACAGG